UUUAUCAGAAAUGUAUGUGGGUGGAUGAGCUGCUCAAGGCACUUGAAAAACACAGGCAAAUAGUAUAUUAAGGAAGCCCUGGAUCCUUACUCGGUAGCCAGUUCCAGGAACUUGGCCAGAAUCUGGGAUCUCUCACCCCAUUCUCCUGCAACACCUCCUAUGGGCAAUCUACCCAAUACUCUGUGAUGGCCUAUAUGGGAAAAGAAUCUGAAAAAGAAUGGACAUCUGCAUAUCCAUAACUGAUUCAUUUCGUGUACAGUUGAAGCUAACACAACACUGACCUUGAGCACAAAGGAGCUCACAGUGAAGCAGAAGAAUUGCACAGAAAGGAGAGAAGAUGCUGGUGGUGGGUACAUGGGAGCCUUAGUGGAGCCUGCCUGCCAGAAGGCCUGAUGGGAGACUGAGGCUGGAGUUGGCUGCAGUGUCUGACACUAUUUUUGAUUACAAAGUUAUUAAACAUAACUUUCUGUCAUCAAGACACAAGUCUGGUCAAGGGAGAAAAAUAAACAAAGCACACUUCACCUCAGAGUUAUAACAGUCAUUAAGUAAUAGCCCACUGAUUGAUGUGGAGAAAUAACCUAUGUAUCUACUUCUAGACCUUUAUCUCUACCUAGAAAAAUCAAUGAUGAUAGAAAAUAAAUUGAUACUAAAAUAUUAGUAUAUUUAAUAUUGUUAUUAAACAAUUAAAAUGUUAUAAAUGUAUUUUUAAAAUCAAAAGGUAAACUCUCAAUAUAAACUUAAAGUGGACAUAUCCAUCCCUAGUUUUUAAAAAUAUUAACAGUUUUGAAAUAUAAGUACAUUAGUGCUAAAUAUUAAAGUGAUAUCUUUUUACACAUAGCCUCUGAAGGGCAGCAAAUUUGUUUUUGUUUCUCCAGUGCUUGCACAGUGCCUGAUAUACUAUAGGUCAGCCUUUCAAUUUGUUGAAAGGCUGUGAAAUCGCUGGAACCAAGUAAAUUAUUAUUGCCCAAUAAUAUUAUUUAUUAAUAAAAAUACUGUCCAAUAUUUUGUAUAUGUGAUACAUUUCCAGGGUAUUGUACAGUCCCCUUAAUUGAGUGCUGAAAGACAAAGAAUGCAGUGCUUUAGAUACAAGAGAUGUUAUAUCUACUCAUAUAAUGAUAUUAAAAAAGCACAACACUAGCCUUUUAAUUUUAUAACUCCUUGUUUUCAUUUCACAGCUAUGUGAAAUAGAGCACAGUAACAUUGCAAUUUUGGAAAAAUGACCUAGACAGCAAGACAAAUUUCCCAGAAGGGAGAUAUUUGGCGUCAGUGAAAGGGAAUUGUUUAACAAACCAGUCAGAAUAACUGCAACUAAACAUCCAUUAUAUGAUGUUAGACUAGCCUAGGGAAUCAAUUGAUAUUUUAAUUGAGUUUGUUGAUGAAAAUUUCCUUCUUUAGGAAAAUAAAAACAUUUGAUACUUCUUACAUACCUAGAAAAAUUGAUAAUAGUAUAUUGGGGUAUAUUGGUGUUUUUUUAAAUUAUGAUUAAUGCAAUGUGUCUAGAUUUAUUUUUUCCAAGAUUUUUCCAUCUGUUGGUGCCAUCAACUCUUGAACAAAUUGGGGGAUUGUUGUAUUAUCUUGUUUCAUGAACAAUACGGCAAAGAUAACAUUUAACUCCUUUCAUUUCUCUGUGCUAAGACUCUUCACUGUAAACUUUUUACUUUCACGGAAAAUCAAGAGGAAAUUUUAUACCACUUCAAUCACACGUUUCUUUUUUUCCCCCUUUCUUCAAGCUUAAAAUGUGCACCAAAUACAAUAUGCUCAUAUGUAAAAUUCUAAACAAAUAUUUAAUGAAGAAUUACACGUGCAAGUCAUCAUAUCAGAAGAAAUAAAUGACAAUGUGAUAUAAAACACAGUCCUUUUCCUACUCAUUGUUUACAUUUGGUCAACCAGACCUAUAAAAAUAAUUCAAACAAUAAAUGCUAAUAUUGCUCCCUAUCCCCAGAAACUAAUCUCCAUGUUCUGAUGCCAAUGCCAGUGAGUGUGAAUCACUAUCAUCAGGUCCCUAAGAAGAAAAAUGGGUACCACAAAGACUCCUUCCUCUCCUUAAUCCUAAAUAUAUAAAUGCCCUAGAUUCUGCCAUGUUAAUUUAUCUUUAACUGACUCCUCCUUCUUCCUUCAUCUUUCACAUUGGCAGAAACGGUUUGUUGCCCCAAAAUUAAACCCUGAUCCCAUUAUAACCCACCAAAAACUUUGCACUUGCCUAGAGAAUAAAUUAUCUUGCUUCUUUCUCAUGGCACCUGCUAGUACCUAGUAUCUUUCAGCCUCAUCAAACUGCUAGAAGUUCUGCAUAUUCUGCUGUUUUGAUCACUGUGCUCUGAUAGAUCAAACAUCUGUAUGACAUUAAUCCUUGCACUCAGUCAUUUUUUUUCCAGCAAAUAUUUACUGAAGACCUAGUAGCUGCUCUAGAUUCAGAUCUGGGAUAAAAAAAAAAAAAUCACCUAAAUAUGUAAAUCUUAAGGAGAUCAGAGUGAAGCCAAGAGUAAAAUUAAUCAGACAGUCAUGCUCUUUUCAUGACCUCAACUCCUGCCCACUCCUAGCUCCUCACUUUGCUGCAGCCUUCUAACCUCUUUGUUGACCAAACAGCUCAAGCUGGCUCUCACUUCAGGGUCUUGACACAUUGUUCCUUUUGCUUGAAAUACUCUUCUUCUGGGGAGUGCGUUGUCUAGCUCCCUUAUCUUAUUUGGGUCUCUGUUCAAAUAUCUUCUAAUAAUAUUUUCCAGGGUAAAAAGUGAUCUGUUCCUUUGUCACUUUUUUUUCCUUCAAAAUAUGUAUCGCUAUAGAUAUUAUAUAUGUAUAACUGUUGGUUUUUCAAUGCAGGUUCUCUUCUAUUAGUCUGCUGCUGUUUCCUCAAACCUUAAAAUAGCGUCUUGUGUAGUGGUUAUAUAUUUGGUAUAAAUUCAUUAUAUAUAUAUUUAAUUAUACAUUGAAUGUUACACUAGGAUGAUAGGGUGAGAUGAUAUAUAAAUUAACAAUGGAAGAUUAGUACAGUUCUCUAAGAGAUGGGAAUUUCCUUUUGCAUAUUAAUGAGGAAUAGGGUAUUUAGAUAGACUAUCUCUUUUUACUGCAAAAAGGCCACUUGUAGUUCAUUUAGGUAAAAGAAUGACAUAGAAAAUAUAUUAAAAAAAUCCAUCACAAAACUGUUCAAGACAUACUUUGUUAUUCAAUAUUUAGUGCAAAUGCUUUUCCGAACAUAAAAAUAAAGUAAAAUUGUGCACGAUGUGGAAAUUUCUGUCAUUUAUAGUCAAUUAUUGAGGAAACAUUUCUUAUUUUCCAAAUUUCCACUGUUAACUCCUUGACUAAAAAAUAGAAAAGAGAAAUGAAAAUAGGUUAUCUUCUUUCCCACAUAAAAGCUAUUUCUAUUGCAAAGCAUAAAACCAGAAAAUAAUCUGUGAGGGACUGGCUAUUCCUUGACAUUUCAUGAAUUAAACACACAAGUCUUGAGAGAUUUUAACUACUUAUGUGUUGAAGAAAGAUGCAUUAUUUUUUUUCUUUGGGAAGAGAUGAAGAAGAUGAUAAUGGAUCAAAAGUUAACCUAAUAAUCUUAAUUUGGGACAAAAAUGGCAAAAUAAAUAUGAAGACAAGCAGAAAAUUGAGAGAACACUGUAAGCCAAUUAUAAUGGAAAAAAUAAAAAUCAUAAAAAAUUAAAAAUAUUUUUAAAAAGAAGGAUGGUGGAAAUGAAAAAGAUGGGAAAAAAUGAAAAACAAGUAGGGGCACAAAGCAGGAGAAAUGCUGAGUUCUGAGUCUGAUGUGAGGCAUUGAUGGAGACUAAAGCCUCAUUCAGCAGAUUAGGAGAUAGGCAGCAAGAGUUAUCUUCUUAUAGCCAUAAAUGAUUAUUUUGCCCCUAGUUGGCAAAAUGAAAUAUCAACAAAAUAAAAAUUCUAACAACUAUCCCCAUACAUAGAACUUUGUACAGGGUUGUUCACUUUUUAGUUAGUAUACGCCAUGACAUCUUCCAAGUUAACAUCAGUCCUGGUGAUUAUUUAAUUUUACAUGAGUUUUAUACAAUAUUCAGAGAUUCUAAAUCAGUUAGAAAGCAUCAAUCAUUCUUACCUAAACUAAAUUCAUAUGGAAAAUCAAGAUAAAGUAUUUUCUUAAAGGAACAUGACUUAAUCUGUAUCAUUAGUUCUUGUUAUUAGAACAUUUCUAAUAACUUCUCGUAUAACUGUCAUUCUAUUUUCCUAGUCUCACCUAGAAUUGGGAACAUGCAUUUCAUGAGACAAUACUUGCUUUUUUGGUUGCUGUUAUACAACAUGUCUCAAAUCACAGUACUACUUGCAAAUGGAUUUAAUGAGCAUAAAAAUGUUCCCACCAGCCAAAACCCAAAAUGUCAUCAUUUCCAUAUUCUCCUUCCUAUUAGGAUUAUAGUCACAACAGAAAAAUUGAAAAAGGCAACAAACUUCCUGCUAUUUAUGUGACAGUGUAAUUGACAAUUACCUUGAUGGAGUUAAUUUAUGAUGUAAUGCUCAAUGAUAUUUAAUAUACCCCAGCAAAAGCUCAGAAUAAAAUAUUUUCUACAAUCCACAUGGCAUCUUAUACAGUCAAACUAAUGGAGCCAACAUGACUAUAUAACAUCAUGAUCAUCUAUCAUUAUUGUCCUUAUGACUCUGGUCAAUCAAACUUACCAGGUAUGAAAAAACAAACUCUAAAGCUAUAAUGAACUUCAGAUUUCACUUUGUUCACACAUAUUUCAAGAAAAGCAUAUAACAAUGAUAUCACAUUUUAAAAUAAAAGCUAUAAUAUGACUGAAGCAACAAAACAAAUCUUUAAGAUGUGUCUCACAAUUUGUCAAAAUGAUGCCCUGAAAAAUUGAAAACCAUGGCACACUCCCCAAGCUGCAAUCAUAAUCACAUAGCAUUAAUAUUUGUUCUCUGGUCUUCUCCCUUUCUAGAGUAUCUUCAUUUUCACCUCUCAAGCUAAAAAUCACAUGCCCCUCCUCAGUGCUUCUCUUCAGAACCUCCAUCACAUUCACUACAUGCUGCUUUGAGUGGUAUUCACUGGGGUAUGUUUACAAUCCUUUACUGUCCGAUUAGUUUCUCACACUAGACUGUAAAGUCCUUCAGGGCCAGGACCUGGUUUAAUUUGAAAUACUUGUGGAGGUAAUAUUUGUUGUGUACCAAAGGCUGAAUCCCUAUGCAUAAUUUCUUGAUAGCAGAGUCCUGAUUAUAUUCUAGAUGCACUUCUAUAUACUAUGUAGUCCAGAAAGGGGUAAUAUUUUUUCCCGGUCCAGAGAGUGUCUUAUCACUAUAUUCUCUUCUCUUUCCAGUAAUUGGUUUAGGCAGAAUUGUUAGGCAUAACACUGCCUGAUGAGGAGCCAAGGGAAGCCUUUUAGGUGAUUCCUGGAAUAGGAUUUCUAAGCCUUAAAAAAAAAAAAAAUCAAGAAGGAGUUAACCAAUCUCCUUCUUUAGAGACUUAGGAGUCUGUAUGUGAUAUCUAUAACUGGAAAUGAUUUAGCAACCAUAAAGGAAAUUUGCCUGAGACACCAAGCAUAGGAAAAAAACAAAACAAAACAAACAAACAAACAAAACACCCCAGCUUCUUGCUUAAAUCAUUUAGCUGCUGAGCCACCAUCCCUGGAAUCAUGUGUCUUCCUGGUAUGAAAGUUAAUUGAUUAAAAAAAAAAAAAAA
rnacentral:lncRNA from 1 species